rnacentral:rRNA from 1 species
UACGUAGGGAGCGAGCGUUGUCCGGAUUUACUGGGUGUAAAGGGUGCGUAGGCGGUUUUGCAAGUCAGAAGUGAAAUCCAUGGGCUUAACCCAUGAACUGCUUUUGAAACUGUAGUUCUUGAGUGUUGGAGAGGCAGGCGGAAUUCCGUGUGUAGCGGUAAAAUGCGUAGAUAUACGGAGGAACACCAGUGGCGAAGGCGGCUUACUGGGCACUAACUGACGCUGAGGCUCGAAAGCAUGGGUAGCAA